AGAGAGGGCUCAGAAACCAUAGAGUCUGCAGAUGGAAACAGGAUUUAGGAAACAUCCAGGAUUUGGAAGGGAUUGAUUCCCAGAAGUCAAAUUGCUGAGUCAAAGGAUAUGUGCUUUUAAAAUUUUAAUAUAUCGUGUCAGAUUCCUCUUCAAAAGGCUGGGUCAAACACUUUUCCACCAUGAUGUCUGGAAGUGCCUGCUUGUCUGUACCCUCAUCAGCCCUGUGGAUUUGUGCAAGCCAGAACAGGAACUAAUGCCAAGAGACUGAUGGAGUAACUAAGCUGUUAAUAAAUUCCAGUGCCACUGAAUAAUAAUACUUUGUAUUUAUAUAGCGUCUUUCUUGGAGGAGCUCAAAGUACUUUAUGGGCUCUGAAAGUUAAUCAAGUUGGGAAUUUUUCAAUCACUGUGGAAGUGAGAUCCAGAGCUCCAAACCCCCAAGCUGUAAAACUUGCUUUCCUUAUUUUAUGCAUGUGGACCCUGUUAGAUGGGGGACCUAAAGAAGCCUGAGGCUCUUUGGCCUUGGAGACAUUGUAACAUGAAGUGAACUGAAAUUCAUUUCUAGCCAGCUAGAAUAAGAUGAGCAUCCAAACAAUGUUUAAAAUAUUUUAACAAAAACAUUGAAAAACAUCAUAUGCAGCUGUCUGGCAUUACUUUGUCAUCAUGACAAUCGCUGAAAUAUAGUGAUCCCUGUGUUUGUGUUAGUUAUUAUAGGAAUAAUUGUGAGGAA